CAACCGCGCGGAAUUGAGCCAGAAAAAUAACGAGGAAUAGGGAGAUGUAAAGGAGGAAAUUUAUUCGAGGCCAAGGGCGGCCCUUUUUUUCUUUUCCUUUUUCUUUGCCUUUUUGACCUGCGUACAAGAAAAGUUUUAUGCGUUGUGUGGGCGGCAAAGGCAUCGAAGUUCUUUGAUUAACCUUUCUUGUAAUUUGU
rnacentral:tRNA from 14 species